rnacentral:lncRNA from 1 species
GUCGGCGCGCAGGAAGAAGAGCGCCCUGGUGGCGUAGAUGAAGUUGCCCUCCAGGUUGUUGACGUCGAUCAGGAACGGCAUGAACCGGUCGUGGUGGUCCAGGAUGUAGAGCCUGUUGCCGUCCAGCGCCUGCUGCACCGUGAGGCCCUCCAGGUUCUUCUCGAUGUGCUCCGCCGUGAUCGUGCUGGUGUGGUCGCCGUACUUGCUGGGGUCGAGCGUGCUCUUCGGCGGGAACUCCUGUAAUGUAAUCGUGUUCGUCAGGCACAUUUCGUGUCGUUUUCGACCCGCAGUUACGCAUGCAUUUUGCACUGAGUGUGACUCACCGUGAGGCGCGUGAUCACCACCGGGUUGACGCCGGCGAGCACCUCCCGCGCGAACUCCUCGUCGGUCCUCCACGCAUCCUUGCUCUCUGUUCCGUGCAAUAACGUACGCACGCAAAAGAGUCAGUCAGUCAGCAGCUAGCUUAUCGAUCGAUCAACUUAAUUAAUUAGGAGUAUACAUAUGCAUCACUGUGUGAGCACAUGCACGCAGAUGGACAGCCGUGCCUUUGAUGAUCUCCGGGAUGGGGAGCUUGAGCAGGUAGUCGCCGCCGGCGGGGAGGAGGUCCUUGACGAGCUGGAGCGGGAAGAGCUUGCGCAUGUCCUCGAGCGCCUGGAUCUUGGGCAGCUUGAUCCCGCCCUCGUACAGGUUGAUGAUGUCCUGGAACGAGUCGAACUCUUUGGGGCUGGUGUCCACGUACGUGCGCACCGCCGGGAUGAUCCCCUGCGCGAUCGCCUUGAUGGCGUGGCCCAGGAAGUCGGACAUCUUGAGGUGGCCGAACCGCUCGUCCCGCGGCAC